GCGAUGGUGAUGUAGUGGUGAGCAUAGCUGCCUUCCAAGCAGUUAACUCAGGUUCAAUUCUUGGCCAUCGCA